rnacentral:lncRNA from 1 species
AGUAGGGGUUCUUCUGACAAAUCGAAACCCUAUAAUCACCAUGACCUUUGAGUUUUCAUGGCCAAAGUACAGAUCUGAUUAUGUAAACCCCAGAUCGAACCAGAUCUAAAACUAGGAUUCCAAAGUUUUCAAAAGAUCGUAGAGAAGACCAUUGAGAAUUAAUUUCCUAGGGUCUAAACUUUGAUCGAAGCCUCAAGCACUACAGUAAAUGGCUCUGAUACCACUAAUAUACAAAAAUUCAAGGAGAUUACAACAAGUUUGCCCCAUCUAUACAACACUCAAAGUCACUAACAAUUGGAUAUCAAAAGUUUUAUCAAUUGAAGGCUCAGAUCCAAGAGCCCAUUGUAUUCAACACCGAACAUCCAGAUUCACCCAAUAAUCCACUCGAACGCACAGUCUCUUCUAUGGACUAGAAGGGCUCAAUGUUACUACUAAUCUCACUCUCUUCUUUCACCGAUUUCACCAAGAAAUACUCACUCUCUAAACAUAUUAAAGAGAAAAACUCAAUAUCAACACAGAAGUUGAAGACGAAAGAGAAAGGACCGAACUCUCCAUAAACCCUCGAAAGAAAAGGAAGAAUGACAAGUCUUAGGCCGUUGAGAUUCAUCACAAAAUAUAUACGUCGAGAUUAAAGCAAUAAAUCAUCCAAAGGUCCAGAGAAACUUGCGCUUUUGACAUAAGGCAAAACAACGGAUCAUGCACCGUCGUCCACGGGAAUGGCAAUGGAUAUACCGAGAAAGGAUCCACUGGAAGCCACCAAGAAUUUCGUCGGAGUUAUGGAAAGCUCCCACUUGGUUAGCUUUCUAUGCUCUCUCUCAA